rnacentral:misc_RNA from 1 species
GUGUAAUGCUAGGUGUUAAUUCAUUUGUUAUUGCAUUUCUUUGUUGCCGGGUCUGAUCUAAACGUUAUUGAUUUUUACCGUUUUCUUUUAAAGAGGUGCAGUACAUUCCUUCUGAUUCCUUGAAUUCUCUGAUGCUAACAUGUUGAUUACAAAAACACGGAUUGUUCGAUCUGUAUAGUAGCUUUUGAUACUGGGAUAGACUAAAGAGGAGUUUUUAUGCACUUGCAUAUUUCCCUUCAAAUAGAAGAUUUCAGUUCUUUUUCACGCUGAAGGACAACUUGGAAUCUUUGUGGUUAACUUUAAAUUGGAUUUUGAUGCACUAAGCUGUAAAAUAUCAUAAAAUGCUAAGGUUCCUGUUCUUAUAGUCUUUGAGAGUAUCACAUUUCAAAUUCAUUGUGAACUUGCUGGAACUAAAUGGCUAAACUUUGUGAUGUCUCCUGUAGUAUGUGUGAGAUGAACCCUGUACCUUCUAAUUUUCAGAUAUGUGCUGCUAAUUCCUACGUAGGAGUAUCAGAUUGCAUAGACAUGGCCUUUCUGCUAAUU